UACGUAGGGGGCGAGCGUUGUCCGGAAUCACUGGGUUUAAAGGGUGCGUAGGUGGGUUGAUAAGUCAGUGGUGAAAUCCCCGAGCUUAACUUGGGAACUGCCAUUGAUACUAUUGAUCUUGAAUACCGUGGAGGUCAGCGGAAUAUGUCAUGUAGCGGUGAAAUGCUUAGAUAUGACAUAGAACACCAAUUGCGAAGGCAACUGGCUACGCGAAUAUUGACACUGAUGCACGAAAGCGUGGGGAUCAAACAGG
rnacentral:rRNA from 1 species